rnacentral:rRNA from 1 species
AGUGAACGCUGGCGGUAGGCCUAACACAUGCAAGUCGAACGGCAGCACAGGAGAGCUUGCUCUCUAGGUGGCGAGUGGCGGACGGGUGAGGAAUACAUCGGAAUCUGCCCAGUCGUGGGGGAUAACGUAGGGAAACUUACGCUAAUACCGCAUACGACCUUCGGGUGAAAGAGGGGGAUCGCAAGACCUCUCGCGAUUGGAUGAGCCGAUGUCGGAUUAGCUAGUUAGCGGGGUAAUGGCCCACCAAGGCGACGAUCCGUAGCUGGUCUGAGAGGAUGAUCAGCCACACUGGAACUGAGACACGGUCCAGACCCCUACGGGAGGCAGCAGUGGGGAAUAUUGGACAAAGGGCGCAAGCCUGAUCCAGCCAUACCGCGUGGGUGAAGAAGGCCUUCGGGUUGUAAAGCCCUUUUGUUGGGAAAGAAAUCUUUCAGGCUAAUACCCUGGGAGGAUGACGGUACCCAAAGAAUAAGCACCGGCUAACUUCGUG